CAUAAUAAAAGGGACAUCAGAAAUAUACGAAAUUCCCUCAUAAUCAUGUCCCCCGCUACGGAUUUUUAACUGUAAAUUAGUCUCUAUGGUGCAAAGAACAGCGCUGGAAACAUGGGAUUCUUCUGUAGGGGUAACGAUGAUAACCGGUUUGGAAGUUGUGGAGGAAUUAAAAAACCGGCGGUUUCUGACAUAGGCUUGUAAAAUGGUGUUAAAGGAGGCAUUGUUUGGGGAAUAGACGAUUUUGGAGAUUUCUGAUUGGGGAAUUGAUUUCGUUGUUAAGCAAUUGACAAACGAGUCAUAGGCUGAAUCUGAGGUUAAAGGAGGUAUUGUUUGGGGAAUAGACGAUUUUGGAGAUUUCUGAUGGGGGAAUCGAUUUCGUUUUUAAGCAAUUGACAAACGAGUCAUAGUCUGAAUCUGAGGCUCCAAGGGAUAAGGAACUGAAUUUUAAAAGGAGGAGAAAAUGAAAAAGGAAAAGAAGACAAGAACAAGACAUGGUUGAUGAUUGAGAAGAUCUUUUCAUUAGGUUUUGGUUGUUUUUGGGUUGGAGACCUAAAGAGCAUUGGUUUUAUAGGGUUUAUAUAGCAAUGAAAUGAUUAUGAAAAAAAAUACUCCUAAAAAGGAAUCAUUUUUUGAAGUUUUAUUCACACAAUGGGGUUGCCCCUUCUUUGCAUGAGGAAAUUCUUAAAUUUUCAAUAUAUUGUAAUUUUGCUUGGAUUUAAAAUCUUUCUAAUUGUACGCGAUUCUUCUAUUUUUCACUGUUUGUUUGUUUCUCACUCGAUAUUCAAUUAUUUGUAUGGUGGUAUGACUAAAUUUGUAUUUGCCGCGACUAGCUAAGAAAAUAUUUUUUUC
rnacentral:lncRNA from 1 species